rnacentral:rRNA from 1 species
AGUGAACGCUGGCGGUAGGCCUAACACAUGCAAGUCGAACGGCAGCACAGUAAGAGCUUGCUCUUACGGGUGGCGAGUGGCGGAAGGGUGAGGAAUACAUCGGAAUCUACUUUUUCGUGGGGGAUAACGUAGGGAAACUUACGCUAAUACCGCAUACGACCUACGGGUGAAAGCAGGGGAUCUUCGGACCUUGCGCGAUUGAAUGAGCCGAUGUCGGAUUAGCUAGUUGGCGGGGUAAAGGCCCACCAAGGCGACGAUCCGUAGCUGGUCUGAGAGGAUGAUCAGCCACACUGGAACUGAGACACGGUCCAGACUCCUACGGGAGGCAGCAGUGGGGAAUAUUGGACAAUGGGCGCAAGCCUGAUCCAGCCAUACCGCGUGGGUGAAGAAGGCCUUCGGGUUGUAAAGCCCUUUUGUUGGGAAAGAAAAGCAGCAGGUUAAUACCCCGCGGUUCUGACGGUACCCAAAGAAUAAGCACCGGCUAACUUCGUG